rnacentral:rRNA from 1 species
AAAUUGAAGAGUUUGAUCAUGGCUCAGAUUGAACGCUGGCGGCAGGCCUAACACAUGCAAGUCGAACGGUAACAGGAAGCAGCUUGCUGCUUUGCUGACGAGUGGCGGACGGGUGAGUAAUGUCUGGGAAACUGCCUGAUGGAGGGGGAUAACUACUGGAAACGGUGGCUAAUACCGCAUAACGUCGCAAGACCAAAGAGGGGGACCUUCGGGCCUCUUGCCAUCAGAUGUGCCCAGAUGGGAUUAGCUUGUUGAUGAGGUAACGGCUCACCAAGGCGACGAUCCCUAGCUGGUCUGAGAGGAUGACCAGCCACACUGGAACUGAGACACGGUCCAGACUCCUA